UACAGAGGUGCCGAGCGUUAUCCGGAUUCAUUGGGUUUAAAGGGUGCGUAGGCGGAAUGAUAAGUCAGUGGUGAAAGCCUGCAGCUUAACUGCAGAACUGCCAUUGAUACUGUCAAUCUUGAGUACAUUUGAUGUGGGCGGAAUGUGUCAUGUAGCGGUGAAAUGCUUAGAUAUGACACAGAACACCGAUUGCGAAGGCAGCUCACAAAACUGUAACUGACGCUGAGGCACGAAAGCGUGGGUAUCAAACAGG
rnacentral:rRNA from 1 species